rnacentral:rRNA from 1 species
AUUACUGAGUUUACGCUCUAUAACCCUUUGUGAACAUACCUAUAACUGUUGCUUCGGCGGGUAGGGUCUCCGCGACCCUCCCGGCCUCCCGCCUCCGGGCGGGUCGGCGCCCGCCGGAGGAUAACCAAACUCUGAUUUAACGACGUUUCUUCUGAGUGGUACAAGCAAAUAAUCAAAACUUUUAACAACGGAUCUCUUGGUUCUGGCAUCGAUGAAGAACGCAGCGAAAUGCGAUAAGUAAUGUGAAUUGCAGAAUUCAGUGAAUCAUCGAAUCUUUGAACGCACAUUGCGCCCGCCAGCAUUCUGGCGGGCAUGCCUGUUCGAGCGUCAUUUCAACCCUCAAGCUCUGCUUGGGUUGGGGCCCUACAGCUGAUGUAGGCCCUCAAAGGUAGUGGCGGACCCUCCCGGAGCCUCCUUUGCGUAGUAACUUUACGUCUCGCACUGGGAUCCGGAGGGACUCUUGCCGUAAAACCCCCCAAUUCUCCAAAGGUUGACCUC